rnacentral:rRNA from 1 species
AUUGAACGCUGGCGGCAGGCUUAACACAUGCAAGUCGAGCGAGCGGCGGACGGGUGAGUAAUGUCUGGGAAACUGCCUGAUGGAGGGGGAUAACUACUGGAAACGGUAGCUAAUACCGAAUACACUCAGAUGUGCCCAGAUGUGAUUAGCUAGUAGGUGGGGUAAGGGCUCACCUAGGCGACGAUCCCUAGAUGGUCUGAGAGGAUGACCAGCCAGACUGUAACUAGGACACGCUCCAGCCUCUGACGGGAGGCAGCAGUGGGUAAUAUUGCACAAUGGGCGCAAGCCUGAUGCAGCCAUGCCGCGUGUGUGAAGAAGGCCUUCGGGUUGUAAAGCACUUUCAGCGAGGAGGCGGUACUCGCAGAAGAAGCACCGGCUAACUCCGUGCCAGCAGCCGCGGUAAUAC